rnacentral:rRNA from 1 species
GAUGAACGCUAGCGGCAGGCCUAACACAUGCAAGUCGAGGGAGAAGCCCUUUCGGGGGCAGAAACCGGCGCACGGGUGCGUAACGCGUAUGCAACCUACCUUUCACGGGGGGAUAGCCCGAAGAAAUUUGGAUUAAUACCCCAUAAUAUUAUUGGAUGGCAUCAUUUGAUAAUUAAAACUGCGGUGGUGAAAGAUGGGCAUGCGUCCUAUUAGCUAGUUGGAGUGGUAACGGCACCCCAAGGCUACGAUAGGUAGGGGUCCUGAGAGGGAGAUCCCCCACACUGGUACUGAGACAGGGACCAGACUCCUACGGGAGGCAGCAGUGAGGAAUAUUGGUCAAUGGUCGGAAGACUGAACCAGCCAUGCCGCGUGCAGGAAGAAUGCCUUAUGGGUUGUAAACUGCUUUUAUAUGGGAAGAAUAAGGCGUACGUGUACGUUGAUGACGGUACCAUAUGAAUAAGCAUCGGCUAACUCCGUG